rnacentral:rRNA from 1 species
GAUGAACGCUGGCGGCGUGCCUAAUACAUGCAAGUCGAGCGAACAGACGAGGAGCUUGCUCCUCUGACGUUAGCGGCGGACGGGUGAGUAACACGUGGAUAACCUACCUAUAAGACUGGGAUAACUUCGGGAAACCGGAGCUAAUACCGGAUAAUAUAUUGAACCGCAUGGUUCAAUAUUGAAAGACGGUUUUGCUGUCACUUAUAGAUGGAUCCGCGCCGCAUUAGCUAGUUGGUAAGGUAACGGCUUACCAAGGCGACGAUGCGUAGCCGACCUGAGAGGGUGAUCGGCCACACUGGAACUGAGACACGGUCCAGACUCCUACGGGAGGCAGCAGUAGGGAAUCUUCCGCAAUGGGCGAAAGCCUGACGGAGCAACGGCGCGUGAGUGAUGAAGGUCUUCGGAUCGUAAAACUCUGUUAUUAGGGAAGAACAAAUGUGUAAGUAACUAUGCACGUCUUGACGGUACCUAAUCAGAAAGCCACGGCUAACUACGUG